rnacentral:snRNA from 1 species
AUGCUUGCUUCAGCAGCACAUAUUCUAAAAUUGGAACGAUACAGAGAAGGUUAGCAUGGCCCCCACACAAGGAUGACACGCAAAUUCAUGAAGCGUUCCAUAUUUUU